UCGAGGAUCUUCGGCAAUGGGCGCAAGCCUGACCGAGCGACGCCGCGUGUGCGAUGAAGGCCUUCGGGUUGUAAAGCACUGUCGGGGGGGAGGAAAGCCGGGGCGACCCGGCCUGACCUAUCCCCGGAGGAAGCACGGGCUAAGUUCGUGCCAGCAGCCGCGGUAAGACGAACCGUGCGAACGUUGUUCGGAAUCACUGGGCUUAAAGGGCGCGUAGGCGGGCGACCGAGUCCGGGGUGAAACCCCGCGGCCCAACCGCGGAAGUGCCUCGGAUACCGGCCGCCUCGAGGGGGGUAGGGGCAUGUGGAACUUCCGGUGGAGCGGUGAAAUGCGUAGAUAUCGGAAGGAACGCCGGUGGCGAAAGCGACGUGCUGGACCCCUUCUGACGCUGAGGCGCGAAAGCCAGGGGAGCGAACGG
rnacentral:rRNA from 1 species